CAGUAGCCGCGGUAAUACGAAGGGUACAAGCGUUAAUCGGAAUUACUGGGCGUAAAGCGUGCGUAGGCGGUUUGUUAAGUCUGUUGUGAAAUCCCCGGGCUCAACCUGGGAAUGGCAAUGGAUACUGGCAAGCUAGAGUGUGUCAGAGGAUGGUGGAAUUCCCGGUGUAGCGGUGAAAUGCGUAGAGAUCGGGAGGAACAUCAGUGGCGAAGGCGGCCAUCUGGGACAACACUGACGCUGAGGCACGAAAGCGUGGGGAGCAAACAGGAUUAGAUACCCGGGUAGUCCCUGUCUCUUAUAC
rnacentral:rRNA from 1 species